CCCCUCUCAGGGUCUCACCUGGAGAGUUUCCAGUAUUCUACCAGUCUCGACUACACGAGGGAGAGUCAAGCGGGGGCCUGUCCAUUCCAUUCCUAGCUUGGGCAGUGGUUAGAGAAUGGAAGGCAAUCUGCUAAAGGU